AAGAGGGAACCCGGUGGGAAUCCGGGACUGCCCCGCAGCGGUGAGCGGGAACGACCGCCGUCAUACGCACUGGAUCCGGCCAUGGGUCCGGGAAGCGACGGCCAGUAGGUGUCUGCCCCGGCAGACGUGCCCGCGAGUCCGAAGACCU
rnacentral:ncRNA from 1 species